GAAGAAUUAGUACCCAUCCUUUUGACACUAUUCCACAAGGAAUCCACCAGGAAAACAAAGCACUCUGGUACUUCAACGGAGAAUUUAGAUAAAUACGUGGUUAAAUGAACAUUGAAGAAGGAAAGCAGCAACAAAGAAGCUCUCAGACGAACAGACAGGACAGAGUCAGGAAAGAACAGAGUGCUCCUAUAAUGGUACUCUAAAGCUGCUUUGAAUUUUCAAACCACUUUAAUUGCACUUUGAGUAUCUAAGCAAACCUGAUCUCCAGAUACAGACAGAGCUUUCCAGGGACAACUAUGUCAUUAAAAAAUUCUGAGCCCUCAGUGAUGGAGUAGGAGUGGAGCAUUCUGAGCCUGUGAGCAAACUGUGUGAAUUCAAGUUCUUCUGGCCACCGUGUGAAGAAGGAUGUGUUUGCUUCCACUUCCGCCAUGAUUGUAAGUUUCCUGAGGCCUCCUCAG
rnacentral:lncRNA from 1 species